rnacentral:rRNA from 1 species
AACCGCUGACAAGCACGCUGUAUGGUAGUCACUGGCUCUGCUAGUCUCCAUGUAGUUGCUAUGUCAUAUUUGAGUAUUGCCAGUCUCACAUUGAUUUGUGGUGCUGGUUUGUGCUCAUCCUUUACUGUGAGAAAAUUAGAGUGUUCAAAGCAGGCAAUCGCCGAUGAAUAUAUUAGCAUGGAAUAAUAACAUAUGAUUUUGUCGUUCACAUUUUAUUGGUUUGUAAUGUUGCAAAAUAAUGAUUGACAGGGACAAUUGGGGGUAUUUGUAUUCCAGAGUCAGAGGUGAAAUUCUUGGAUUUUUGGAAGACAAGCUACUGCGAAAGCAUC